AAGUCGUAACAAGGUUUCCGUAGGUGAACCUGCGGAAGGAUCAUUAACACGUAUCCAAACGUUAAAACAACCCUGUGAAUAUUAACGCGUGUUCUUGCUUGACACCAAAACAGCAAUCUCUCGUAAAACAGGCGCUAAAGAAUUACAGAUAUUGAUUUGAGAGAAUUCUGUCAGUCGGUGGACGUUGCAAUUGAGCACUAGAUAAAGCACCCUGGUACCUUCUGAUCUAUCACCAAUGUCUGAAAGUGUCAAGUGAUGGUCAGGGUAACGCAGUCAACGAUCGCUGUAGGUCCUCACGACCGGCGACUUGGCGAAAGCUGACUCCGUCAUAAAUCGAACAACUGUUAACAAUGGAUAUCUUGGUUCUC
rnacentral:misc_RNA from 1 species